GAUGAACGCUGGCGGCGUGCUUAACACAUGCAAGUCGAACGAAGCAUUUAGGACAGAUUACUUCGGUUUGAAGUUCUUUAUGACUGAGUGGCGGACGGGUGAGUAACGCGUGGGUAACCUGCCUUGUACUGGGGGAUAGCAGCUGGAAACGGCUGGUAAUACCGCAUAAGCGCACAAUGUUGCAUGACAUGGUGUGAAAAACUCCGGUGGUAUAAGAUGGACCCGCGUCUGAUUAGCUAGUUGGGGAGAUAACAGCCCACCAAGGCGACGAUCAGUAGCCGAGCUGAGAGGGUGACCGGCCACAUUGGGACUGAGACACGGCCCAGACUCCUACGGGAGGCAGCAGUGGGGAAUAUUGCACAAUGGAGGAAACUCUGAUGCAGCGACGACGCGUGAGUGAAGAAGUAAUUCGUUAUGUAAAGCUCUAUCAGCAGGGAAGAUAGUGACGGUACCUGACUAAGAAGCCCCGGCUAAAUACGUG
rnacentral:rRNA from 1 species